ensembl:lincRNA 4932435O22Rik RIKEN cDNA 4932435O22 gene
AGUCAGCAACUGGCAAGUUCAACUGGUGUCUGUGGGGCGCCAGGCACAGCCUCUGUUAACCCUUUCACCGCCCACCCUGAAGAGUGAACACUAUUCUGCUCCCCACCGAAGAUGGGAAGUGAACUCUCUUUCCUGAUAUGACAGGGACAGGAGAUACCACAAAGCUUCAAGGUCAAGCCCGUGAUUCAGGUUCCAUAACCUUCCCAAACUUUGCCCGGAGCUGAGGAGUGAGCGUUCGAACUCGUGAGCCUGAGCCGAGUAGCAUUUCAUUCAAACCACAGCGGAAGGAAUGAAGGGGAAGGCUCAGAAAUGAAUCCUCCGGCAGACUCCGAUGACAGGGACAGUCUGUAGGGUCAGGCGGGAACCUAUUGGGUGCAUCGCAGCCCCGUUCCUGUGAAGAAACAGCUGAGGCUCUUUGGCACUUUGUGCCUUGUUCCUUCCUGUGAUGACACGUUCUUGGACGGUGAAGCCUCAGUCACGAUCACUUCCUGCAGUGUGCAUCGGACACUUCGGUAAUGCAAGCCACAGUGAACUCUGCGUGACCCUGCAGUCAUUUCCUCUUAGACCUGAGUGGAAGGCGUUUCUUUCAGUGGCUUAGGAGGACUGCUGUGGCUGAUACUGAAGACACAGUGCUGUGAUUGGUGCAAAUCCAAACCCUCAUUUGCAUACAAUGUUUUCUGUCAUUGGUGCAGACUAACCAUUUCUGGCUAUGUAAACACAUCAUUUGGCUCACUUAAGAUGGAUACCAACUCCUCCUAACCAUCCCCCAAUCCCAUGGUGCCUCUCUCAGUUUGUGACAUGAAGGCCAGUGAGAACUCUGGGAUGGUCUUUUCCUGCCUACUUUUAGUUGUGUGACUAAUCUGAUAAUGAAGAAUGGUGCAGUGGCACCAGCAGAGUGACAGUGAUGGCAAACACAGUGUAACCAUAGCCUAGGUGAUAGCUGAGUAGCCUAGGUGGCAAGGCCUGGAUGAUUGACAAGUAAAGAAGCACCAGAGAAACCAUUGUUGGAGAGUGACUGGGGUGGGACCAAGGAUGGUGGCAGAAAUAGAGAAGAUGAAGAGCUGAGGCUGGAGGAAGAUAGAAGGCUCUAGAGAGCCCAAGAAGAGAAUGUGCAGGCCUGGGUUGCUUCAAGAUCCCUGUGUGCUGCCAAGCUUUUAGGGGCAAGGAUCUUGGGCUUUCCAGGCUUGGAGGAUUUCAUAAUAGUUUGAUGUCAGGUGCUGGGGAAUCCUGAUGUGUGGGUGGGCUUGGAAGAUGCAAUACCAACUGAUGCCAAGGACAAAGGAAUCUUGACUUCCUGCACCUACACAAGAGCGGGAACACUUGUUUAGUGAUAGUUAACGGUCUUGUUAUCCCAAGCCUACAACAAGAACUUUAACACUAGAGGCCGUCACCCGUUCCUGAUCCUGACUGCCUACUGUUGCCCACUGUGGUUAAAUACCAGGAAUGUAAAAGUUUUCCCAACAUCAGCACUUGUAGGUCUUCUCCUUGCUAACCCACAGUUUCUAUCUAAAUAGAACAAAAGGACCCUUGCCACCUGAUUAUGAAUGAGAAUAUUCUCUCUCUGCACUGUGUGUCCAGCACUAUAGUCACUGGUAGCACAUGGUUGUUGAACACUAGAAAUGAACCACAAGUUAAUUUUAUCUCAUCUGAGUGAGUUAAAAUUCAUAGAACAUGAUUAUUGUAUUAGGUGGUGUGGUUUGACAUUGGAACUGUACAUAACCCAAAUGAAGAAAUGAAAGCAAUUCCUUGAAUUGCUUGCUGAUAGAUUGGAGCCAGAAGAAGAAAAGACAGUUAAUUUGAAGAUAGUUCAAUAUAAAUUAUACACCAAGAGGAAUAGAGAAAAGAUAAUGAAAAUUGAACACAGCCUCCUAAGUCAGCAGGAUAAAAUCAAGCCAAGGCAGAGAACAUCUUAGAGGGUUCUAGAUGGAGAAGAGAGGGAUAGACAUAGAGAGAUCCACAUGUGGUUCCAUCACAAUCAAAGAGGCAAAGGUCCAAAAAAUAGAGAGAAACUUCAUCAGUAUUCAGAGUUCCCAUCUGGGAAGAAGGGGGCUGGAAGACAUUGAAACAAAGCUUCAUGAAGUAUUGAAAAGAAAAGUCAGUGUCUGCCACCCAGAAUUCUAUACCCAGCUAAACUAUUCCUCAAAAAAUAAAUGGAGAGGCUGGAGAGAUGCCUUAGCUCGUGAGAGUGUUUGCUGUUCUUGCAGAGUGCAUUUGGAUCCCAGUAGCCACACUGGGUGCCUCACAGCUGCCUAUAACUCCAGCUCUGUCUUUUGGACUCUGAGAAAUUGCACUUAGAUGCACAUACCCAGACACAGAUACAUACAUCAGAUAACUGAAAGGUAUUUAAGAAUAUUUAAAAGCAAGUAACUACAAAAUAUUGAUCUUCUUGUGAUGUUAUAACAAAAUACAAUAGAUUGUGUAGGUCAAGAAACAGGUUUAUUUUUCGUUGAUCUGGAAUCUGGAAGUCUAAGGUCAGGGUGCUGGAAUGGUUGUGUUCUAGUGAGGGCUUGUUCCCUGGCUUGUGGGUGGGCUGCCUUUUCAAUUCUCCUUCUCUAGACUUUUCCUUUUUUUGUGCUUUGUGCUCAUGUGUAGGUGUGGUGGGGAGAGAGUCCCUCUUCUGUAGCCAUACCUCUUGUUAGAUUAGGAUCUUUCUUAACCUUCAUUCCCUCUUCAAAGCCCUGUGUCCAAGUUCAGUCACAUGACAUCUGGGUUUAGGGUUUAAGCUCUGAUGGCUUAUGGCACAUCCAUAUUAGGAACUAAAUAUCAGUAAGGCCUUUUAUUAGUGAGGGGUUCUGUUGUGUUAUUUUUGUUUGUUUGUUUUUACUAUGACAAGAGAGCUCACAAAAAGCAUCUUAAAGGAGGAAGGGUUUAUUUUGACUUGCAGAUCCUGUGGAUACAGUCCAUCACAGUGGGGGAGGGGGAUAGCAUGUGACAGCAGCAUGAUGUGGCUGUGGUCACAUGCAUCCCCAGUUCAGAAGCAGAGAGAGUGAAGGAAGUGGGGCUGGACUAGCUCCCGCCCAACUGGGCAAGGCCCACGGCCUCCUGUGAGGCUCUGCACAACCUUCUAAAACAGCUGCUCUGGGACCAAGAGUUCAAACCCAAGGACCUACAGAGGGCAUUUCAUAAGCUACAACAGCUCCUGUAAAUAAACCUUUGAAUGCACUUUGAGAGAAAUGCAGAUUCAGUAAUAUUUUUUGCUGUGUAUUUUAUGAUUCUGGUAAUUAUUAUUUCAUAAAUAAGUAAGUGAGGAGCUAAAUCAUGUUCAAGGAUUGCAUGACUCCAAAAUUACAAAGAUAUAAAUGACCCUUUUACCGUAGUUUCAAUUCAGUCCUAAUCAAAAUUCUCUUAGACUUAAAAAAAGAAAGAAAGAAAGAAAAAAAAGAAAAGAAAAGAAAAGAAAAGAAAAGAAAAGAAAAG